rnacentral:rRNA from 1 species
UACGAAGGGGGCUAGCGUUGCUCGGAAUGACUGGGCGUAAAGGGCGCGUAGGCGGCUUGCACAGUCAGGUGUGAAAUUCCUGGGCUCAACCUGGGGGCUGCACUUGAUACGUGUAGGCUAGAGUUUGGAAGAGGGUCGUGGAAUUCCCAGUGUAGAGGUGAAAUUCGUAGAUAUUGGGAAGAACACCGGUGGCGAAGGCGGCGACCUGGUCCUUGACUGACGCUGAGGCGCGAAAGCGUGGGGAGCAAACAGG